UUAAAAGAAUAUGACUGCGGCCAGUGGAAGGGCUCCUCGGAGUGUUUUUCUGAUCUUUUUUUUAUAUAUAUAUUUUAUUUAUUCACUCAUAAGAGAGGGGCAGAGACACAGGCAGAGGGGGAAGCAGGCUCCACGCAGGGAGCCCGACGUGGGACUCGACCCGGGACCCCGGGGUCACGCCCUGGGCUGAAGGGGGCGCUAAGCCGCUGCGCCACCCGGGCUGCCCGCGUUUUUCUGGUCUUAAACCAAGACAGAAAGAUAAUGUCUGUUCUGGAGUGUUCUGGAGACAUUGGAGCAUGGGUUCUUCUACUGGCAUUUUAUCAAGAAAGCUCUCGAUGUUCAGAACACUGUGACAGGCAUUUGCAUCAUGUGUGAUACACAGCUCAGGUCACUGUUCAGUGAAAUUGGCCUUUGAAGGAAACCCUGCAAGUGCAUGGCAGAGCCAUAUACACUACAAUUUGGUGCCACUGCCACCACUGGUACCAGUGCCCCAGCAGUUUCCGCCAUCUUGACUCUGCUCCACCAGUGCAAAUAUCAGCACACUGAAAAUGCAGGUAAUGUCCAAGUCUUACAAUAAAAUAGUUUUGAACUUGUAGACUCUCUGAAAGGGUCUCAGGGACCUCCAGGGGUUCAUGGAUGGCACUUUGAGAAUCACAGGUAUAAGAAUGCACUAAAGGUGUUGCUGAGGAGAAAGGUAGGGUAUCUUUUUAAAGCGGUGAUUUCAGGAAUAGCUAGGAUGAUGGAAGGCAGUGUAAUCUGAUGGAAUUGGCUGCUAUUGUUUUUAAGCAGCAGAAAGCAUAUUAUAUUGCCCUAAAUUUUUUAAAACUUUUUGACUGUAACACACAAGAAGAUAUACCUUUACAUUGUAAC